GUGUCCGGAAAUCAGACUUAGCUUUUCAAAAAUCAGCUACCGAUAUGGCUUUGUCAUUUGCAUGUAAAAGAUCAUCUAAUGUGCAAGACUGGUCUAGGCGUGGGCAGAUCAGCAUAUGGCCAGGAUCCUGAAGAGCACCACACGCGCACAAGAUGUUUUCUUCGUUUGAAGCAGUCAACCAUGCAAGCGGAAGUUUUGGUGGUCUUCUUUUCAAGUAUACCAAGUGAAAUUUGCAAAACUUGCAUUUAUCUAACAGGAUGGAAAUUGGUAAUUAUUGAACAAGUGUGUUAUAAUUUAAAGUGUUUUGUGUAAUAUGCCUAAUCAUACGAAAUGUGAGAUCUUUUUCCCCAGAAAAUUGCAUUUUCUCACUCUAACAUGUUAUUCAGUAGACUAUAGCCUCCUUAAGUAGACCCCUUUAAGUUGUAUCUCUGGAUAUCCCAUACUGAUUUGCAAUAAACAAACGGAAAAAUAGAUUGUGAAAUAUGCAUUUUUGUAGUGCUAUAGCUUUAUUCAAGUUUUGCAUAAUCAAACAGUAAGUUAACCAUGUUCAAACAGUUUUUACUUAACUGAGCGCAGCAUGCAAGGUGAAUCAUUGUCAAUGUUAUUGUCUAUUGCAAUGUGUAAGUAUUAAAAGUGUUUAAAAUCACGCAGACAGUUGUUCAAAAUUUGGCUGAAAGCGAGAGAAGUGUGUUACUGUAUGUAGUUGCAUUGUGUAGCAGUCUACACACAGCCUUAAGCCCAAACCCUGUACUACUCUUAAUUCGGCUCCUUUGUUUUCUCUUCUUUUAUUGAAUAUACAUUUUGGAGUUAUUAUUUCUUUUAA